GGCUUAUUGAGUUUAAUUUUAGGUCUGGCCUGCCCAAUGAAUAGUUUAAUGGCCGCGGUAUUUUGACCGUGCAAAGGUAGCAUAAUCAUUAGUUUUUUAAUUGAAAGCUGGAAUGAAAGGUUUGAUGAAAAAUUGACUGUCUCUAUUAAAAUUUGUUAGAAUUUUAUUUUUAAGUAAAAAAGCUUAAAUGUUUAUAAAAGACGAGAAGACCCUAUAGAGUUUUAUAUUCUUGUGUUAGUGAGAUUUUAAGGAUUUUAAGUUUUGUUUGUACAAGUUUAUUUUGUUGGGGUGAUAGAAAAAUUUGUUAAACUUUUUUUUUAUUUAAACAUUAAUUUAUGAUUUUUUGAUCCUAAGUUUUAGAUUAGAAGAUUUAAUUACCUUAGGGAUAACAGCGUAAUUUUUUUUAGAGUUCUUAUCGAAGAAAAGGAUUGCGACCUCGAUGUUGGAUUAAAAUUAAUUUUUGGUGAAGAAGCUAAAAAAGUGGGUCUGUUCGACCUUUAAAAUUUUACAUGAUCUGAGUUUAAACCGGUGUAAG
rnacentral:rRNA from 1 species